GAUCUGCUCAGGAUGAACGCUAGCUACAGGCUUAACACAUGCAAGUCGAGGGGCAGCAUCAUCAAAGCUUGCUUUGAUGGAUGGCGACCGGCGCACGGGUGAGUAACACGUAUCCAACCUGCCGACAACACUGGGAUAGCCUUUCGAAAGAAAGAUUAAUACCGGAUGGCAUAGUUUUCCCGCAUGGGAUAAUUAUUAAAGAAUUUCGGUUGUCGAUGGGGAUGCGUUCCAUUAGG
rnacentral:rRNA from 1 species